rnacentral:rRNA from 1 species
UACGUAGGGUGCGAGCGUUGUCCGGAAUUACUGGGCGUAAAGAGCUCGUAGGCGGUCUGUUACGUCUGCUGUGAAACCCAGGGCUUAACCCUGGGCUUGCAGUGGAUACGGGCAGACUAGAGGCAGGUAGGGGAGAGUGGAAUUCCCGGUGUAGCGGUGAAAUGCGCAGAUAUCGGGAAGAACACCGUGAGUAGGCGGUCAAG